rnacentral:piRNA from 1 species
UCCUUAGUCCCAUCACGACCCAUCUCUU